ACUAUUUUGAUAAUCUCUACAGAGGAGGGAAGCCAUGUUAGAACGAGAGUCUACUACCAACCUUUAUGGUAUGGUUUGACAAAAGCUCUGACAGAAAAGAACAGAUCCAUCUCUCUCGAUGGACUGGUUCAGACCCAUUUUGGGCACUGUCAACAGGAGAUUGGGUGGUGUCGCUUCUUCUUCUUGGCCACUCCCACUCAGAAGGACUGUAGAAGCGUUUACGUUGGUCUUCUUUCUCGCCAUUACUUCCUCGAUCAUUUCUCAAUUCUUAACUAACAACGCUCUGUCCUCUACUCGCCGGAGCAACUGUCAUUUUCCGGCCAUUUUCAACUUCGGAGAUUCCAAUUCUGAUACCGGUGGAAAAUCAGCUGCCUUUCAUAGGCUCCCUUAUCCUAACGGCGAGACCUUCUUCCACAAGCCUUCCGGGAGGUACUGCGAUGGGAAAGUCAUCGUUGAUUUCAUCGCUGAGAAAUUGGGUCUACCAUAUUUGAGUGCUUAUUUGGACUCCAUUGGAACCAACUUUCGACACGGAGCGAAUUUCGCAACUGGAGGGUCAACGAUUCAGUCAGUGGAUGUGAAGGUUUUCGAGGCUGGUUUUAGUCCCAUCUCUUUGGAGAUACAGCUUUUGCAGUUUAAACAAUUCAAAGCUCGGUCUGAUGAGCUAUUCAAUGAAGCUACAAGUUCAAAUCUCAAGAACAGUCUCCCAAGACCAGAGGACUUCUCCAAGGCGUUAUACACUUUCGAUAUUGGACAGAAUGAUCUUCAUUUUGGGUUUAAAGCCAUGGGAGAAGAACAACUAAAGGCAUCUUUUCCUAAAACUAUCGGUACGUUUGCUCAGGCAAUCAAGGAACUAUACCAACUAGGAGCAAGAGCGUUUUGGAUCCAUAACACUGGUCCUAUUGGAUGUUUACCUUAUACUGUUAUACGGAACUCUCCAAAACCUGAAGAUACGAACCAAAAUGGCUGUGUCAAGUCCCAUAAUGAAGUGGCCAAGGAAUUCAACAGGCAGCUCCACCAGAGAAUUUCCCAACUUAGGGUGCAACUACCUGAUGCAGUUAUUACUUAUGUCGACAUCUAUUCAGCCAAGUAUUCUUUAAUCUCUGAAGCAAAGAAGUAUGGUUUUGCUAAUCCACUUGAACAAUGUUGUGGGCAUUAUAGAGAUUACUAUGUCCAAUGUGGGAAGAAAGCAAUGGUAAAUGGGUCUGAGAUCUUUGGGAAUGUAUGCAGUGAUCCAUCAGUAUCCAUUAGUUGGGAUGGUGUGCAUUAUUCUCACGCUGCAAAUAGAUGGGUAGCCCACCAAAUUGAAGAUGGCUCUCUCUCAGACCCUAAAAUUUCCAUUGCUCAAGCUUGUCACAAUCCUGCUGAAUCAUGAUGAAAACGACUAUACCUACAAAUGGCACAAAAAAUUUCGAAUACUCAACACUGCUUCCAAUCAAAGGUGUCAGCUUUCAGACGCAGUCCUUACAGAAGCAUGGGUUCACAAAAUUUCUUGGGAAGAUUGCUGUGGGAGUUAUGUUGUAUACUGUGAGGAAUGACAACAGUUGUGAAUGGGAUUGACUUUGAGGACUGACUCUACCAUAACUGUCAUUUUGUUUUUGUAUAUACUUAACAUCUCUUUUUAAUAAAUGGUAGAAAAAAUAUUUAAAAAAAAAAAAAGAAAAAGACCAUUUUUGAGGCAAAAAGACGACUCCACUGGGGAUCGAACCCAGAAUCUCUGGUUCCGUAGACCAGCGCCUUAUCCAUUGGGCCAUGGAAUCCUGAUAUUAAUUCCUUACAUACCAUAUAUUAUUCAAUUUGACUAAUAAGUG